AACGAACGCUGGCGGCAGGCUUAACACAUGCAAGUCGAGCGCCCCGCAAGGGGAGCGGCAGACGGGUGAGUAACGCGUGGGAAUCUACCCAUCUCUACGGAAUAACGCAUGGAAACGUGUGCUAAUACCGUAUACGUCCUUCGGGAGCAAGAUUUAUCGGAGAUGGAUGAGCCCGCGUUGGAUUAGCUAGUUGGUGGGGUAAAGGCCUACCACGGCGACGAUCCAUAGCUGGUCUGAGAGGAUGAUCAGCCACACUGGGACUGAGACACGGCCCAGACUCCUACGUGAGGCAGCAGUGGGGAAUAUUGGACAAUCGGCGCAAGCCUGACCCAGCCAUGCCGCGUGAGUGAUGAAGGCCCUAGGGUUGUAAAGCUCUUUCACCGGUGAAGAUAAUGACGGUAACCGGAGAAGAAGCCCCGGCUAACUUCGUGCCAGCAGCCGCCGUAAUAC
rnacentral:rRNA from 1 species